CCUACGGGAGGCAGCAGUGGGGAAUCUUGGGCAAUGGGGCCGUCCGUAAUCCUGCAAAACCGCGUGUGUCAUGAACGCCUCCGGGUGGUUAAGCGCUUUUGGCCGGAAAAUAGUCGCGCUGUUUAAUCCCUGGAGUUAAUGACGGUACCGGAAGAAUAAGCCCCGGCUAACUUCGUGCCAGCAGCCGCGGUAAUACGUAGGGGGCGAGCGUUAUUCGGAAUUACUGGGCGUAAAGCGUGAGCAGGCGGUUUUGUAAGUCAGGCGUGAAAUCCCCGGAGCUCAACCUGGGAAUGGCGCUUGUAACUGCAAGUCUAGAGUGAUGUCAGAGGGGGAGUAGAAUUCCAAGUGUAGCGAGUGAAAUGCGUAGAUAGUGGAGGAACACCGAGUGGCGAAGGCGAGCCCCCUGGUCCAAUACUGACGCUCAGCGCGAAAGCGUGGGGAGCAACAGCUUACAACCCUGGUAGUCCAGCCGUAACGUAGUCUAUCUAGUUGUUGGGCAUCAUUUUCUUCGGUGCGCUACUACGCGUCCAACUGCCGCCCGGGCCCAGAGCAGACACCACAC
rnacentral:rRNA from 1 species